CAGCAGAAAGGAAAUAAUAGGCUUCU
rnacentral:piRNA from 1 species